CAAUAGCGUAUAUUAAAGUUGUUGCGGUUAAAAAGCUCGUAGUUGGAUUUCUGCCGAGGACGUCCGGUCCGCCCUCUGGGUGUGUACAUGGUACGGCCUGGGCAUCUUCUUGGAAAACGUAUCUGCACUUGACUGUGUGGUGCGGUAUCCAGGACUUUUACUUUGAGGAAAUUAGAGUGUUUCAAGCAGGCCUACGCCUUGAAUACAUUAGCAUGGAAUAAUAAGAUAGGACCUCGGUUCUAUUUUGUUGGUUUCUAGAGCUGAGGUAAUGAUUAAUAGGGAUAGUUGGGGGCAUUCGUAUUUAACUGUCAGAGGUGAAAUUCUUGGAUUUGUCAAAGACGGACUACUGCGAAAGCAUUUGCCAAGGAUGUUUUCAUUGA
rnacentral:rRNA from 1 species